UACGUAGGGUCCGAGCGUUGUCCGGAAUUAUUGGGCGUAAAGAGCUCGUAGGCGGUUUGUCGCGUCUGCUGUGAAAUCCCGAGGCUCAACCUCGGGUCUGCAGUGGGUACGGGCAGACUGGAGUGCGGUAGGGGAGAAUGGAAUUCCAGGUGUAGUGGUGAAAUACGUAGAUAUCUGGAGGAACACCGGUGGCGAAGGCGGCGAUCUGGCCCAACAUUGACACUGAGACCCGAAAGCGUGGGGAUCAAACAGG
rnacentral:rRNA from 1 species